rnacentral:rRNA from 1 species
AUUGAACGCUGGCGGCAGGCCUAACACAUGCAAGUCGAACGGUAACAGGAAGCAGCUUGCUGCUUUGCUGACGAGUGGCGGACGGGUGAGUAAUGUCUGGGAAACUGCCUGAUGGAGGGGGAUAACUACUGGAAACGGUAGCUAAUACCGCAUAACGUCGCAAGACCAAAGAGGGGGACCUUCGGGCCUCUUGCCAUCGGAUGUGCCCAGAUGGGAUUAGCUAGUAGGUGGGGUAACGGCUCACCUAGGCGACGAUCCCUAGCUGGUCUGAGAGGAUGAACAGCCACACUGGAACUGAGACACGGUCCAGACUCCUACGGGAGGCAGCAGUGGGGAAUAUUGCACAAUGGGCGCAAGCCUGAUGCAGCAAUGCCGCGUGUAUGAAGAAGGCCUUCGGGUUGUAAAGUACUUUCAGCGGGGAGGAAGGGAGUAAAGUUAAUACCUUGGCUCAUUGACGUUACCCGCAGAAGAAGCACCGGCUAACUCCGUG